rnacentral:rRNA from 1 species
GCUGGCGGCGUGCCUAAUACAUGCAAGUCGAGCGAACGGACGAGAAGCUUGCUUCUCUGAUGUUAGCGGCGGACGGGUGAGUAACACGUGGAUAACCUACCUAUAAGACUGGGAUAACUUCGGGAAACCGGAGCUAAUACCGGAUAAUAUUUUGAACCGCAUGGUUCAAAAGUGAAAGACGGUCUUGCUGUCACUUAUAGAUGGAUCCGCGCUGCAUUAGCUAGUUGGUAAGGUAACGGCUUACCAAGGCAACGAUGCAUAGCCGACCUGAGAGGGUGAUCGGCCACACUGGAACUGAGACACGGUCCAGACUCCUACGGGAGGCAGCAGUAGGGAAUCUUCCGCAAUGGGCGAAAGCCUGACGGAGCAACGCCGCGUGAGUGAUGAAGGUCUUCGGAUCGUAAAACUCUGUUAUUAGGGAAGAACAUAUGUGUAAGUAACUGUGCACAUCUUGACGGUACCUAAUCAGAAAGCCACGGCUAACUACGUG